rnacentral:lncRNA from 1 species
GUUUCUUUUCCCUCCCUCUCUCCCUCCCUCCCCUAACCCCUACUGGACACUGAACCCAGGGCCUUCACACUGAGUUGCAUCCCCAGCCUUUUUUACUUUUCAUUUUGAGGGGGGCCUUGCUAAGUGACUGAGCUGCCCAGACUAGGCUUGAACUUGCCAUCCUCCUGCCUUAGGCUCCCAGAGUACUGGGAUUAUGGGUGUGUGCACCGUGCCUGGCUGUGAUAAAGCUGUUCUAUUUCCACUCUAUCGACAGCCACCAGCUACAUCUUCACCUUUGCUUCACUCAUAUGGUGGUGUCUCCUUGCCCAGCAUCUCCUGGAAGAACUCACUUAGAUCUGAUUGCCUCCAAACCAAGCACCUGCAGCAGAUACAAGACCUUACGGCACUAAGGCAAGCAACAGUUGAACAAAGACCAUCGUCCUGCAGACCAGAGGGAGAAGAAGACCUGAGGCCUGAGGAUCCCUGGUUCUUCCUGCCUCAGGAAGGCAGUCCUUCUUCCCUUACCUCAGCUGCACCCUGCCCUCAGUACAGGAAGACGGCUGGGGAGACCGGGGGGGCUUCUGAGAGACUUCAUGUUCAUCUAGGAGACAGAAUACCAUGCAGAUGGGCAUUUAAAUAGAGUAAGC